rnacentral:lncRNA from 1 species
AUCCAGUUAGAGAUGGAAAAAUGCUAUCGUUGAAUUGAUUCUCCCAUAGAUGAAGGUUCUCCAGCUUUUUCAACCUUGAUGACAAGACUUUGAAACCUGCAUGAUGUUCCUCAAUAGCAUAUUGGAAGGAAAUAAUUAAAUGCGUAGAAAAAAAUGAUAUGAGAAGGAGAAAAGAAAAGGUUUCGAAGCUAAAUAAUUAAAAGGUUAACAUAGAAGCUACCUCCUGAUCCAGCUGUCAACCCAUCGGUAAUUAAAACAAGAAUAAUAAUCGUUAAAUAUCAUUCUAAUAAUAAUAAUCGUUAAAUAUCAUUCUAAUAAUAAUAAUCUGUAAGUUGAAAUCCGUUCGUAACUUAAUUCCUCUAUCUAUUUAGUUAGUAAGAUUAGUUGUCACUAAUUUAGUAAUUAUAAUUUGUUCCUAACUUAAUUCCUCUGUUUUCUAGCAAGUACUUUCCCUAUUUUAUCCAUAGCAUUAAAGAAUUAUAAACUUUUUCACGUUUUAUUUCUCAAAGUCCAAAUAUUUCACCAUAAAAUCACCCAUCACCAUUCACCACAGAAUAGGAGAGUUUUGAAGUGAACUUCUGAUUGCUAAUUUAAUCUAAAUAUUACAACACUUUUGGCAUAAAAGGGCCAAAAUAAGAAUAAAAUAUAUGCCUCUUGAACCUAAUUCCAAGUGCCUCUUUAGGUAGAUAUAAAGUCGUCCUCAUUUUUGUUGAUAAAGAAACAAUAUAAUUAAGAGAAUGUCAUGUGAAGCAUUUAGGUAGGUAGAAACUGUAUAUUAUACCUGAUCCUGUCAGCUGAUUGAACGAUAGAUCCAAAGACUUGAGGGAUGAAAAUCCAGUUAGAGAUGGACAAAUGCUAUCGUUGAAUUGAUUCCCCCAUAGAUGAAGGUUCUCCAGCUUUUUCAACCUUGAUGACAAGACUUUGAAACCUGCAUGAUGUUUCUCAAUAGCAUAUUGGAAGGAAAUAAACGCAUAGAAAAAACAUGAUAUGAGAAGGAGAAAAGAAAAGGUUUCAAAGCUAAAUAAAUAACUAAAAGGUUACCAUAGAAGCUAC